rnacentral:rRNA from 1 species
AGCUCCAAUAGCGUAUAUUAAUGUUGUUGCAGUUAAAAAGCUCGUAGUUGGAUUCCUCGUUGGGCGCGGCCGGUCCGCCUCGCAAGAGGUGCGUACUGUGCCGUGUCUGCGAUUUUUGGUGAGAACGGUCCUGGCAUUCAGUUGUCGGGGUCGGGAUCGCCGACGUUUACUGUGAAAAAAUCAGAGUGUUCAACGCAGGCUUAUGCCCGAAUACAUUAGCAUGGAAUAAUAAGAUAGGACCUUGGCGGUCUAUUUUGUUGGUUUGCACGCCGAGGUAAUGAUUAACAGGGACGGUUGGGGUUCUUCGUAUUCAAUUGUCAGAGGUGAAAUUCUUGGAUUUAUGGAAGACGAACUGCUGCGAAAGCGUCGAACAAGGACGUUCUCAUUAAUCAAGAACGAA